rnacentral:rRNA from 1 species
GACGAACGCUGGCGGCGUGCCUAAUACAUGCAAGUCGAGCGGACUUGAAGGAGUGCUUGCACUCCUGAGAGUUAGCGGCGGACGGGUGAGUAACACGUAGGCAACCUGCCCUCAAGACUGGGAUAACUACCGGAAACGGUAGCUAAUACCGGAUAAUUUAUUACAUAGCAUUAUGUGAUAAUGAAAGACGGAGCAAUCUGUCACUUGGGGAUGGGCCUGCGGCGCAUUAGCUAGUUGGUGGGGUAACGGCCCACCAAGGCGACGAUGCGUAGCCGACCUGGGAGGGUGAACGGCGGCACUGGGACGGAGACGCGGCCCAGACUCCUACGGGAGGCAGCAGUAGGGAAUCUUCCGGAAUGGGCGAAAGCCUGACGGAGCAACGCCGCGUGAGUGAUGAAGGUUUUCGGAUCGUAAAGCUCUGUUGCCAAGGAAGAACGUCUCAUAGAGUAACUGCUAGGAGAGUGACGGUACUUGGGAAGAAAGCCCCGGCUAACUACGUG